UACGUAGGGUGCGAGCGUUAAUCGGAAUUACUGGGCGUAAAGCGUGCGCAGGCGGCUAUUUAAGCUUGCUGUGAAAGCCCCGGGCUUAACCUGGGAACUGCAGUGAGGACUGGAUGGCUGGAGUGUGGCAGAGGGGGGUGGAAUUCCACGUGUAGCAGUGAAAUGCGUAGAUAUGUGGAGGAAUACCGAUGGCGAAGGCAGCCCCCUGGGAUAACACUGACGCUCAUGCACGAAAGCGUGGGGAGCAAACAGG
rnacentral:rRNA from 1 species